CCUACGGGAGGCAGCAGUGGGGAAUAUUGCACAAUGGGGGAAACCCUGAUGCAGCGACGCCGCGUGAGUGAAGAAGUAAUUCGUUAUGUAAAGCUCUAUCAGCAGGGAAGAAAAUGACGGUACCUGAGUAGUAACCCCCGCUAACUACGUGCCAGCAGCCGCGGGUAUACCGAGGGGGCAAGCGUUAUCCGGAUUUACUGGGGGGAAAGGGAGCCUAGACGGCAGUGGAAGGCUGGGGGUAAAGGCGGGGGCUCAACCCGCGGACUGCUCUGGAAACUGGACGGCUGGAGUGCAGGAGAGGUAAGUGGAAUUCCUAGUGUAGCGGUGAAAUGCGUAGAUAUUAGGAGGAACACCAGUGGCGAAGGCGGCUUACUGGACUGUAACUGACGUUGAGGCUCGAAAGCGUGGGGAGCAAACAGGAUUAGAUACCCUAGUAGUC
rnacentral:rRNA from 1 species